rnacentral:rRNA from 1 species
UACAGAGGGUGCGAGCGUUAAUCGGAAUUACUGGGCGUAAAGCGUGCGUAGACGGUUAUUUAAGUCGGAUGUGAAAGCCCCGGGCUCAACCUGGGAAUUGCAUUCGAGACUGAAUAGCUAGGGUACGGUAGAGGGAAGUGGAAUUUCCGGUGUAGCGGUGAAAUGCGUAGAUAUCGGAAGGAACAUCAGUGGCGAAAGCGACUUCCUGGACCAGUACCGACGUUCAGGCACGAAAGCGUGGGAGCAAACAGG